UACAGAGGUCCCAAGCGUUGUUCGGAAUUAUUGGGCGUAAAGCGCGCGCAGGCGGUCCCUUAAGUCUGAUGUGAAAGCCCACGGCUCAACCGUGGAGGGUCAUUGGAAACUGGGGGACUUGAGUGCAGAAGAGGAAAGUGGAAUUCCAUGUGUAGCGGUGAAAUGCGUAGAGAUGUGGAGGAACACCAGUGGCGAAGGCGACUUUCUGGUCUGUAACUGACGCUCAGGCACGAAAGCGUGGGUAGCAAACAGG
rnacentral:misc_RNA from 1 species